CAGUGCGGGGCCUGGUUAGUACUUGGAUGGGAGACCACUUUGGAACACCAGCGGCUGUGUGUGUUUCUCCAGGUUACACUGGAGUUGCGUCAGGAAGGGCAUCCGGCGUAAAACUUCUGCCAAACGCCUAUGCGGAUCUGGCUAUAUCCACUGUGUCGACCCCAAACAAAAUGGGAGCAGCCAAAUGGACAACAACAGUGUGUAUAUCAUAACAAGAACCUAAACAAUUUAUAAAUGCAUUAAGACAAUAAAUUAACAGGAAAUAAAUGGGUUGAGUUCUUCCUCUGGAAACUGUUGAGGUCAAAGGUUCUAAAAACAUUCUGGACUCACACUCCAUUCCAAUUCAUUGUAGAAAGUUUGCCAAUCUAGAGCCUGUGGGUCCCCACAGGCAACAUGCUAGUAUAGAAUAAAAGCAUAAUCUACAAACCAAACCAAGUCACAAGCAAAGCCAUAGGGUACAUAUUCUCGGAUCAGUGAAAUAUUUGAAUUUAUGGGGCUCUUCCACAUAUCACUGUUACUUCCUGUUUAAGCCGAAUAGCAAAUGGAGAUGCAAUUUGAAGCGUGGUAGUAACUUCUUGAUCCAUCUUUGUCAGUCUUGAACAAACAUGGGUAUAUGUAGUAGUUACGGCCAUCAUCGGCACCACUUUUGAAAUAGGGUCAAAUUUUCGAAGUAUUCAAAAAUUUCAUACCAAUUCGCAAAAUCGUCGCCAGUAUGUGGUAGUUUCUCAGUGUUCGUAGUCUUAACAGCUUCACUCACGUUUGAACAUCUUUAAAUGAGGCAGUCCUAAUAACUAUGGUUUUGAACUUGCUUGAUUGUGCUCCGUGAUGCCAAAGCAGCGUUUGUUGUGGUUCUGGCCGAGGGCGCAGCUCCUUACUUUAAUUUUCGGGCGGGUUGCCAGGUCUGCACUUUAUAUAACAGUCUGUUAGGAGGCAAUCCAGAUUAAGCCGUUUCAUCCUGUUUUUGCACUUUUUUUGGAUCGUGGGCGAUCAUAGUAGAAUAGCACCCUGUGGGAUAGGGGU